GAUGAACGCUGGCGGCGUGCUUAACACAUGCAAGUCGAACGGAAAGGCUCCUGCUUGCAGGGGUACUCGAGUGGCGAACGGGUGAGUAACACGUGGGUGAUCUGCCCUGCACUUCGGGAUAAGCCUGGGAAACUGGGUCUAAUACCGGAUAGGACGAUGGUUUGGAUGCCAUUGUGGAAAGUUUUUCGGUGUGGGAUGAGCUCGCGGCCUAUCAGCUUGUUGGUGGGGUAAUGGCCUACCAAGGCGUCGACGGGUAGCCGGCCUGAGAGGGUGUACGGCCACAUUGGGACUGAGAUACGGCCCAGACUCCUACGGGAGGCAGCAGUGGGGAAUAUUGCACAAUGGGCGCAAGCCUGAUGCAGCGACGCCGCGUGGGGGAUGACGGCCUUCGGGUUGUAAACGCCUUUCGCUAGGGACGAAGCGUUUUGUGACGGUACCUGGAGAAGAAGCACCGGCUAACUACGUG
rnacentral:rRNA from 1 species